CGAGUGGCGAACGGGUGAGUAAUACAUCGGAACGUGUCCGCUCGUGGGGGGACAACCAGCCGAAAGGUUGGCUAAUACCGCAUGAGUUCUACGGAAGAAAGAGGGGGACCCGCAAGGGCCUCUCGCGAGCGGAGCGGCCGAUGACUGAUUAGCCGGUUGGUGAGGUAACGGCUCACCAAAGCAACGAUCAGUAGCUGGUCUGAGAGGACGACCAGCCACACUGGGACUGAGACACGGCCCAGACUCCUACGGGAGGCAGCAG
rnacentral:rRNA from 1 species